CCUACGGGGGGCAGCAGUGGGGGAUAUUGCACAAUGGGGGAAACCCUGAUGCAGCGACGCCGCGUGAGUGAAGACGGCCUUCGGGUUGUAAAGCUCUGUCAAUCGGGACGAAGAAGAUGACGGUACCGAUGAAGGAAGCUCCGGCUAACUACGUGCCAGCAGCCGCGGUAAUACGUAGGGAGCAAGCGUUGUCCGGAAUUACUGGGUGUAAAGGGAGCGUAGGCGGGAAUGCAAGUUGGAAGUGAAAGGUAUGGGCUCAACCCAUGAACUGCUUUCAAAACUGUAUUUCUUGAGUGAAGUAGAGGCAGGCGGAAUUCCUAGUGUAGCGGUGAAAUGCGUAGAUAUUAGGAGGAACACCAGUGGCGAAGGCGGCCUGCUGGGCUUUAACUGACGCUGAGGCUCGAAAGCGUGGGUAGCAAACAGGAUUAGAUACCCUAG
rnacentral:rRNA from 1 species